rnacentral:lncRNA from 1 species
GCGGGCUCUUAGACUAUUAGGCCCAGUUCCACAACUUGACUUUAAACCGAGUUUACCGCAGAAACCCGGUUUAACCAGUUAACUGGUAUUUUGCGUUCCACAAUACCAACGGAGUUUAAACUAAACGCUGGAUUUUGGGGAGCAAACACCGUUCUCUUCUAGGUUACGUCAAUCUUGUUUGUCGAGUCGCGCGUAAUAUAUAUUAAUUUUGAAAUAUCCAAGCCGGAAACAGUGAUACGGAAAAGAAGAAAAAGAAGAAUAUACGAUCCAUGGCGAUGAUAAAUAAUAUUUUGUCAUCAUCAGUUGAUGAGGAUUUUGUUGAUAUUGUCGACCGCAGACCAAAAGUAGUGCGCAGCCGUCCAAAUUUUUAUUAAUAUAUGGACGAAGUUGAUUUCCGAGCCCGAUUCCGGUUAUUAAAAGUUACCGUUAAACGGUGCUGAUGAAUAUUGGGCAUGAAUUAGAACAUACAACACAACAAAAUAAUUUUAUAUCUCCAAUGAACUAGCUACUUCUGACAUUGAGGUUUUACGCAAUUGGGAGUCAUUUAAUUUCAGCAGGUGAUUUCAGCGGAGUGGAGAUAAUGCAGAAUAUUUUAGAAAUCAGAAAGGAUAUUUCUCCAUAAAUGUGCAAGCAAUUUGUAAUGCUAACUUAGAAUUCAUUGACAUAGUAGCAUGAUGGCAAGGAUAUGUGCAUGAUAGCACAAUAUUUAAUAAUUCAAGGAUACGCGCGUUGUUCGAAGCUGGGACAUUCAAUGAUGCUAUUAUGCUCGGUGAUGGCGGUUAUCCACUUCGGUCUUAUUUAAUGACGUCACUACAGAACCCUUGAACUCGGGCUGAACAACUGUAUAACGAGGCGCAGAUAAGAACACUUAAUACCAUCGAGCGUAUGUUUGGAAUUUGGAAGAGAAGAUUCCCAAUAUUAAUUCUAGGAUCUCGCUUCCAAACUAUCGAGAGGACUUUGCCAGUAAUUGUAGCAACUGCUGUUCUGCAUAACAUCGCUCGAUGAGCCAGUGAUCUACUACCACCGGAUGAUCGAGAUGUUAACUUGCCUGCACCAUGGGAUGAACUGCUGUUACCAGGAAAUGUACCUGCAGUGAAUCAUGGGAUUGCCAAUAAUCCUGUUCAAAACAUAUUAAUCAACAAGUAUUUCCAAAGCUUGCUAGAGUGAGUUACUGGAAGAAAGUCUAACGUGCAGACUGUACAUAUGCUCAUACGGACAAUUGUGAAUAAUAUAGUGUAAUAAUUAUAAAUAUUUAAAUGGGUUCGUUCCAUUGAACAAACUGUUAAUUUGAUGUUUCAUUGGUCGAUUGGUUUUUCUCCCAGCAAGUUGAUGUUAGAUGUUACAAAGGGUAUUAUUAUGAAUAAUUUUCCGUUAGUACUUCAGAAUAGAGACAUUAAUCUGUAACAAAAAAUUGCUCAGGCUAGAUUUAGUAAUCGUAUAUCAGUAUUAGCUAGAUGCGAUGAACAUGAUUGGAAAUUGAGCCCUUUUAAGGGGUUUUGUGUUGGGGAUCUUGUUCUUGUUGAAACACAAAAAUUGUCUAGUCUGUCAGAUAAAAAGAUAAAAAAUUUAUUUUUACUUUAUGAUUGACCUUUUAGAGUGACAGGAGUCAAGAAGGGAAAUAGUUAUUCCUUGGAAACCUUAUAAAGUGAGAAUUUUGGUACGAGGAAUAUUAUUUUGUUCAAACCUUUUCUUCAGCGACCAAACCGAAAAAGUCCUUGUUGAAAUUUAUUCGGCCUCGGGGAGGGGGAGGGAGCUUGUUCAUUGACUUAUAGUUUGUAAAUUAGUUCUCAGUUGAUUUAGAGUUAUUUGUAAAUGUUUGAUUGAUAGAAAAUUAAUUCAAGUUUGAUAACUCUCUUUUCACAGGAUUGUUUUGAAAAUGGAGGAGAUGCAUUCGGUAAAAGAUGUAGAAAUUGAUACGUUUUGUGAAUAGUAAAUAAAGUUAUUUAUGAAUUUUAUAUCGCUCGUAUCAUCAAGUGUACUUGAUAUAUAAUAAACAUAGAUUUCGCUCUCAUAUCUGCUUUCAUCAAUUCAACUAAUUCCAACUUUGAUUGCACCAAAACGGCAAAAUGUUGGUUACGAGUAACAACAUUUACUCGUGUCGAUGUUGUUGCCGCUCGCAUCCUUUUCCGCCGCAAGUUUGAUAAAACAGAUGAUUCUGGCAGCAAUAUCGACGGAUAAGGUUGUGAUGCCGAUGCACCAGGUCGAGAUGCUGAAAUGUCAUGAUGUGAUGACGACAAUGCUGCAUCAACGUCGGCGAAUGUCAAUUGCUCACUGGAUUGAUAUGCCAUCAGCUCUUUAAUUUUCUGUUGACGUCGCAUUUUUGGUUGCCAGCAACUCCAAUCCGAUUUCUCUGUUUCUUCGAGACUCUAUAACGAGAAGCAAAAUUUUCAAUAAUUCCUUCCCACCACUAAUGAGAUCCUUGGUUUCUACCUAUUUCAUUGUUCUUAUAUUAUAACAUUACUUCUGACGAAGAAAAAGCGAACAAACGGAAUUAUUAUACUACUUCUACUGUAUGCAAUAAAAAAAUUUAAUUAUGGACAGUA